GCUACGGGAGGCAGCAGUGGGGAAUAUUGGACAAUGGGGGAAACCCUGAAGCAGCGACGCCGCGUGAGUGAAGAAGGAAUUCGGUUUGUAAAGCUCUAUCCGCAGGGAAGAAAAUGACGGUAGCUGAGGAAGAAGCCCCGGCUAACUACGUGCCAGCAGCCGCGGUAAUACGUAGGGGGCAAGCGUUCUCCGGAUUUACUGGGUGUAAAGGGUGCGUAGCCGGGGUGGCAAGUCUGAAGUGAAAUGCAUGGGCUUAACUCCUGAACUGCUUUGGAAACUGGCGAGCUUGAGUGCAGGAGGGGUAAGCGGAAUUCCGGGUGUAGCGGUGAAAUGCGUAGAUAUCAGGAGGAACACCAGUGGCGAAGGCGGCUUGCUGGACUGUAACUGACGUUGAGGCUCGAAAGCGUGGGUAGCAAACAGGAUUAGAUACCCGAGUAGUC
rnacentral:rRNA from 1 species